rnacentral:rRNA from 2 species
UGAGGAAUAUUGGUCAAUGGGCGGGAGCCUGAACCAGCCAAGUCGCGUGAAGGAAGAAGGAUCUAUGGUUCGUAAACUUCUUUUGCAGGGGAAUAAAGUGCAGGACGUGUCCUGUUUUGUAUGUACCCUGAGAAUAAGGAUCGGCUAACUCCGUGCCAGCAGCCGCGGUAAUACGGAGGAUCCGAGCGUUAUCCGGAUUUAUUGGGUUUAAAGGGUGCGUAGGUGGUUUGAUAAGUCAGCGGUGAAAGUUUGCAGCUUAACUGUAAAAAUGCCGUUGAAACUGUCGGACUUGAGUGUAAAUGAGGUAGGCGGAAUGCGUGGUGUAGCGGUGAAAUGCAUAGAUAUCACGCAGAACUCCGAUUGCGAAGGCAGCUUACUAAGCUACAACUGACACUGAAGCACGAAAGCGUGGGGAUCAAACA